rnacentral:tRNA from 1 species
GGGGUUGUAGCUCAGUGGUAGAGCUCUUUACCUCACAUGCAUGAGGCACUGGGUUCAAUCCUCAGCACCACA